rnacentral:tRNA from 1 species
AAUUCUAUAUUCAAUUAUGAUAUUAAAUUGCAAAUUUAAAGGUAAAUUUAUUUUAGAAUUU